rnacentral:rRNA from 1 species
AUUGAACGCUGGCGGCAUGCCUUACACAUGCAAGUCGAACGGUAACAGGUCUUCGGAUGCUGACGAGUGGCGAACGGGUGAGUAAUACAUCGGAACGUGCCCGAUCGUGGGGGAUAACGAAGCGAAAGCUUUGCUAAUACCGCAUAAGAUCUACGGAUGAAAGCAGGGGACCGCAAGGCCUUGCGCGAACGGAGCGGCCGAUGGCAGAUUAGGUAGUUGGUGGGAUAAAAGCUUACCAAGCCGACGAUCUGUAGCUGGUCUGAGAGGACGACCAGCCACACUGGGACUGAGACACGGCCCAGACUCCUACGGGAGGCAGCAGUGGGGAAUUUUGGACAAUGGGCGAAGGCCUGAUCCAGCCAUGCCGCGUGCAGGAUGAAGGCCUUCGGGUUGUAAACUGCUUUUGUACGGAACGAAAAGACUCUGGUUAAUACCUGGGGUCCAUGACGGUACCGUAAGAAUAAGCACCGGCUAACUACGUGCCAGCCGCCGCCGUAAAAC